CACGUAGGGUGCGAGCGUUGUCCGGAAUUAUUGGGCGUAAAGAGCUCGUAGGCGGUGUGUCGCGUCGGCCGUGAAAACCUGCAGCUUAACUGUGGGCUUGCGGUCGAUACGGGCAUCACUGGAGUUCGGCAGGGGAGACUGGAAUUCCUGGUGUAGCGGUGAAAUGCGCAGAUAUCAGGAGGAACACCGGUGGCGAAGGCGGCAUCCUGGACCAACACUGACACUG
rnacentral:rRNA from 1 species